AGCUCCAAUAGCGUAUAUUAAAGUUGUUGCAGUUAAAAAGCUCGUAGUUGAAUUUCUGGUCAUUUUUAAUGCCGGCCUCGGUCGCGUUAAGGUUGGCCAUCCGUUUGCAAGCUACUCUCGGCCUUCACUGGUUCGGAGUAGUGAGCUGACAUUUUACUUUGAAAAAAUUAGAGUGUUUCAGGCAGGCGCAUGCCCGAAUAUACUAGCAUGGAAUAAUGGAAUCGGACUUUGGUCCAUUUGGUUGGUUAUUGGAUCUGAGUAAUGGUUAAUAGGGACAGUUGGGGGCAUUAGUAUUUAAUUGUCAGAGGUGAAAUUCUUGGAUUUAUUAAAGACUAACUUAUGCGAAAGCAUUUGCCAAGGAUGUUU
rnacentral:rRNA from 1 species